AUUUCUUGUCCUUUGAUGAUGACAGAGUGAAUACCCUUCCCAUGGCUCUUUAGGGGUGCUUCUCCCACCCAGGCAGACUGGCAUCUUUAAAGUGGUAAGUGUGCACCAUCGUAGCUAAUGCCUGAGUCAAUUUUGCAAAUACAGGCUCAAUGUUAGCAGGUUCCCUCUUUGCUGCAGAUUCCUGGAGUGGACAAAAAAGGAAACACACCAUAGCCAUCUUAGUGAAUUACACAGUGCUGCUUGCCCUGGUGAGGCCGUGAUGAGGGAUAUGGGGAGGGGGCCAGGUAUGAACUGUUUUUCCCCAGGAAGAUUCUUUUCACUUCCUUUUCGGCCUACUCAAAUGUUCCUUUGACUUGAACUGAAGUCACAGCUCAAGAUGCACUUUUGACUAGGACACCUGCACAAGUUCUGACCAUCUCGCCAGUGUUCAAAAACCGCUUGUGAAAUGAAUAACCACAGCCCUGGAGGUAGACGAGACAUCUUCCCCAGCCCAGGUCCCAAGUUCCUCAUGUUCCUCUCACAUCAAUGAAGAGGCUCCUCUCUGCCCUCCAGUCCUUACAGCACUCCUAUGAAACAGAUACCAUCACCCCCCACUUAUCAGAUGAAAAAAACCAAGGCUCAGAAAAGUUCAACAACUUGCUCAAGAUCAUUAGCAGAGCUGGGAUUUGGAAACAAACAGUAGACCCCAGAGCCCCUACUUUUAAAUGCAGCUCUGCCGAGAGAUGCAGAAGGCAGGCCAGUGCCCUGUUAUCCAUGGAGGGACACGGUAGAAAGUGAGAGGCCACAGGAAGGCCAGCAGCACCUGCUCAUUGCUCUGACUCCCACGGCCCUUCCAGGCCUCUCCAGCUCCAGGCAGGGAUGGAAAUCUGCUCCUCGACAGGUUAGAGCUCUGAGGAGUCCCAGAAAGCACAGUCUCUUGCAGCCUUGAGCUCUUCCCAGCAUUGCCAGGGCAGGAAUUGCCCGAGGAUUGUCUGGGAUGCCAUCCUGGAUCAUCACCCUUCCCCGCAAACCACAGGCCCUCAACUCCUGGCUGCUGCCUCUUCCAGAAAACAUACCUGUUAGAUAAAAGGUGUGUGUGCCAGCUCACUUACCUGCUGUGGGAUCUUGCACAAGUUGCUUGAUAUCUCUGUGCCUCAGUUUCCUCACCUGACAAAUGGAGACAACCGCAUCGCCUUCCCAGGAUGCGUUACAAGAAUCCAGUGCAAAUGCUUACAAACGGAUGAGAAGCAUCCCUGCCGUAUGAGAAGCUCUCAGGAAGUGUUAGCCAUCAGCAGCAGCAGCAUUGCUGUGAUAUUUAUUAUUGAGGUUGAUGAUGGUCUUAUGUGCCUAUAUAUCCAGGUACUUGGUAGAGUGUCUGGCAUGAAUAAGCACUCAAUAAUCAUCGACUCGAUGAGGGAAUGUACUUCGAAGCUAAAUUUUUUUCCCAAGGUAUUACCCUUCCCAGGAAAAUUUAAAUUUAAACGGAAGAUCCGCACGUUGAUGACAAUGCUUAAUGCGUAAGUGGCUAAUGGUGUGGUUCCAGAUGUCUCUGGGGAAGGGAUUUAAAGUCAGUGGUUGUUUUCAUAUCUAGUCAGUCAGUUAACUCGUAAUACAGCUAUCCCUCGUCGGUAGCUCAUAGUUAUCUUCCCUAAGGUGGAAUCUCCCUCCUGAUGCCAAAGCAAUAAAGCCUUAGAAGCUAGUGUGGGCAUAAAGGAGACAAAGAAACCCUUCCAGCUGCAGGAACAAUAUUUCCUGUAUCCCCUGGGCUCCACGUCACCACAACUGGCAUAUGUGCUGAAGCUGUAAAGCCCACAUGGGCUUGUUCACUACGAGAAGGAGCAUGAGUCCUGCCCGCCAGCUGACCACAGACCCUGGCAUGACGGGGCUCUCAGACUCCAGUCCUAGACUCUCCUGGGAGAGGCUUACCCCUUCUCCACCUCGCCAGAGAACUCUGGUAAUGAAGAGUAGAAGUAUUUUAUCUAAAUGUUCCUGGACAGCUAUGCUGUGAAUCUGCUCCAGGAUCUUGGUUGGAAAACGGCUAGCCAUUUCAAGUUCAGAGGCGAGGGGUGGCCACGGGCCUGGGGGCUGCAAGAGUCCCCCCAUGGUAUCUCAUCCUACAGCUGAAACUACCUUUAUAGACAUUCUCACAUAUGCUUCCCUCAACAGAAGAGUGAGUGGGUUGGUACCUUCAUUCCUUUUUCUUUCUUUUAGAGUUCUUUUAAAAGAUUUAUUUUUACAUUGUUCAAAAUUCCAAUGGUCCUAAAGUCUAUACAGCGGGAGACCCCUCUUCUCCGUCCAUAGCCAUCCCCAUCUUCUUUGGUGCAGACAAAAAUCACUGGUUCCCUGAGAAAUGUUCUAGGGAUAUUUUAUGCAUAUACAAGCAAGUAUAUAUAGUCUUUCCCCCCUUUUCACAAAUGGAAAGCUUGCUUUACACACUGUUAUGCACCUUGCAUUUUCUCACUCCAGAAUAUAUUUUGGAGAUUAUUCGAUAUCAGUAUGUACAGACCUACAUCAUUCUUUUUGUGGCUACAUGGUAUCUUGUUAUAUAAAUUAGCUUAUUUAACAAGCCCA